rnacentral:rRNA from 1 species
AGAUAAUAGAUACCCCGGUAGUCCACGCCCUAAACGAUGUCGACUGGUUGUUGGGGGUCUGACACUCUCAGUAAACGAAAGCUAAACGCGUGAAGUCGACCGCCUGGGGAGUACGGCCGCAAGGUUAAAACUCAAAGGAAUUGACGGGGACCCGCACAAGCGGUGGAUUAUGUGGAUUAAUUCGAUGCAACGCGAAAAACCUUACCUACCCUUGACAUGUCCGGAAGGCUGCUGAAAGGCGGCUGUGCCCGAAAGGGAACUGGAACACAGGUGCUGCAUGGCUGUCGUCAGCUCGUGUCGUGAGAUGUUGGGUUAAGUCCCGCAACGAGCGCAACCCUUGUCAUUAGUUGCUACCCGCAAGGGAGCACUCUAAUGAGACUGCCGGUGACAAACCGGAGGAAGGUGGGGAUGACGUCAAGUCCUCAUGGCCCUUAUGGGUAGGGCUUCACACGUAAUACAAUGGCGCGUACAGAGGGUUGCCAAGGAGCGAUCUGGAGCCAAUCCCGUAAAGCGCGUCGUAGUCCGGAUUGCAGUCUGCAACUCG